UACGUAGGGUGCAAGCGUUGUCCGGAAUUAUUGGGCGUAAAGAGCUUGUAGGCGGUUUGUCGCGUCUGCUGUGAAAUUUCGGGGCUCAACCCCGAACUUGCAGUGGGUACGGGCAGACUAGAGUGUGGUAGGGGAGACUGGAAUUCCUGGUGUAGCGGUGAAAUGCGUAGAGAUCGGGAGGAACACCAGUGGCGAAGGCGGCCUUCUGGACCAAUACUGACGCUGAAGCACGAAAGCGUGGGGAGCAAACAGG
rnacentral:rRNA from 1 species